rnacentral:lncRNA from 1 species
ACGCUGCCCUGCAACUGCCGGGAGCACAGUUCCUUCCCGGACCUGGCUGCAGAUGAAUCAGCUGCUGCGCCCGGUGCGGGACAGAUGUGGCGCAGGGAGGGGGCCAGCGCCCCCGCCGCCCGUUAGAGGGGGCCGCCUCGCUAUUUCGUUUGAAGGGUUGUCUGUGGCUGGGAUUGGUGGCUCCUAUCCGCUGGGGAGCCGGGAGCGGAGGGAGGAGAGACGCAGGGAGGAGGAGCCGGGGGCUGGGCGACGCUGCGACUCCGCGGCCUGAGUGGCAGGAGCCUCGUCUGGAACCGGGCGGUUACUGGGGAGACGCUUUGUUUGCUAACUUCGAAAGCGGCUUCGGCUGCCUCGGCCGCUUUCGAAGCCACUCCACAAAACACGCCUUCGGUCGGUUUAACCCUACCUCCCCCCCCGCCCGCUUUAGCCAGCUCGAGACAAAAAUGUUUCCCUCUUCCCCGUGGUUCUCCUUGGCCACGCGGUGGCUCUCAUUAUGUACACAAAGGCACACAUAGUUCCUUUUGGCGUCUUAUCUUCUGAAGCUGCCUCAAGGCCAAGCAAAGAAAGUUGUUAAAAAGUUAAGUUACUUUUCACAGCCUGCAAACCCUUCAAAGGCAAGAACUCAAAUAGAAACUUGGAAAGGCAGAUAAGCCAGAAAAGUGUACUAAUAAACGCACUUAAUAUGAUUAUUUUUUGAUGCCAGGUCCACCAAGUGAAGAUUGGAGGAUGUAUUUGUUUCUUCUACUCAACAACAAUUGAUAAAGCAUGAGUUCCAUCAAGGACUGUGUUCUAGGUGGAGAAAGGGUGACUCACCCAGUCAUUGGAUCUCUUUCACUUCCAGUCUCUGGAAGGCAGAUAUCUUUAUAAAAUAUGCAGACAGCUAGGCUCUAAACACUGGACAAGAGGUCUGUAAUCAUCCAGUCACAUCUCAGGUCAGAGGGUCUUGGACUGCUUAAGAAAGAGCUGACCAUUGUCUUAAGAACCUGGGGUGGCCUAGAGCCAUCUUGAGGUGAUUUUAUCAGCCCCAUCAGGAUAAUUCUCCUCAGCUUCCUUGCAUGAAUAGUGUAACUGGUGCUACUACUUUUGUUUUUAGUCACUUUUCCUAGCCUGCACUUCCCUUCCCGGCCCUCCUUUUUCCUCUGUAGCCAAGUCAUCACUUCUCUUUACCUAAAUGAGUUUUGGAAUCCAGGGGAUAAAACGAAAAGAUAGGCAGGGCGCUGUGGCUCACACCUGUAAUCCCACCACUUUGGGAGGCCGAGGUGGGUGGAUCACCUGAGGUCAGGAGUUUGAGACCAGCCUGACCAAUAUGGUGAAACCCCAUCUCUACUAAAAAUACAAAAAUUAGCCGGGCGUGGUGGCGUGUGACUGUAGUCCCAGCUACUUGGGAGGCUGAGACAGGAGGGUUGCUUGAACCUGGGAGACAGAGGUUGCAGAAAGCUGAGAUCGUGCCAUUGCACUCCAGCCUGGGUGACAGAGCAAGACUCUGUCUCAAAAACAAAAACAAAAAAACGGAAAGAUAAUUCCUUGAGCACAAGCUUCACUCUCCUUAUUCUCAACAUCUGUGUCUGUAUUAUUCUUUACAGUUUAUGAAACACUUAUUUAAUCUCACUUAAUGCCCAAACUAGUGAUGUUAGUUAUUUUUUUUAAAAAGUCAAGAUCACUUAACACAUCCAAAUAUAACAAAGUUAAAAGGCAUAAAACUGGGUACCCAACAUAAAUUAUCUGAUUAUAAAUCAAGUGGUCUCUGGGAAAUCUUGUCAUUUCAGAAGGUCAGAUGGAUGUGGAGGGCAGAAACUAACCUCAGAUUAUGCCAGGGACGCCAGGGCCUCCUGAACACUGUGGGGGGUUGUGCUCUGAAAUCUACCUCCAGUUUUACAAGAAGCUCUCUUCCAAUCUGUCU